AUACGGAGGAUCCGAGCGUUAUCCGGAUUUAUUGGGUUUAAAGGGAGCGUAGGCGGACGCUUAAGUCAGUUGUGAAAGUUUGCGGCUCAACCGUAAAAUUGCAGUUGAUACUGGGUGUCUUGAGUACAGUAGAGGCAGGCGGAAUUCGUGGUGUAGCGGUGAAAUGCUUAGAUAUCACGAAGAACUCCGAUCGCGAAGGCAGCUCACCGGGCCGGAACUGACACUGAUGCUCGAAAGUGCGGGUAUCAAACAGGAUUAGAUACCCUGGUAGUCCGCACAGUAAACGAUGAAUACUCGCUGUUUGCGAUACACUGUAAGCGGCCAAGCGAAAGCGUUAAGUAUUCCACCUGGGGAGUACGCCGGCAACGGUGAAACUCAAAUGAAUUGACGGGG
rnacentral:rRNA from 1 species